GCCUGGCUGACUCAGUUGGUAGAGCAUGCGAUUCUUAAUCUCAAGGUCGUGAGUUCAAGCCCCUUGUGGGGCA
rnacentral:tRNA from 1 species